GAAAACAUUUCCUCUUAGAUAAAGAGGUAAGGCCUGCUCACUGAAUUUUAAAGAGCCGCAGUAUUCUAACUGUGCUAAGGUAGCAUAAUCAUUAGUCUUUUAAUUGAAGACUGGUAUGAAUGGCUUAACGAGAAAUUGACUUUUUUUGUUAUAAAAAUUGAAUUUAAUUUUUUAGUGAAAAAGCUAAAAUCAUUCAGAAAGACGAGAAGACCCUAUAGAGUUUUAUGUUUUAAAAAUAAAUUUUUAUUAGAUUUUGAAUUAUUAAUUUUUAUAAACAUUUUGUUGGGGCGACAUAAAGAUAAAUAAAACUCUUUAUAUUAAAAAUUUUUAUAAAAAUAUUCUUGAUCCUUUAUAAGAGAUUAUAAGAAAAAAUUACCUUAGGGAUAACAGCGUAAUCUUUUUUGAGAGUUCUAAUCGACAAAAAGGUUUGCGACCUCGAUGUUGGACUAAAAUUUAGGCAGGGUGCAGCAGUUCUGCUUUAAGGUCUGUUCGACCAAUAAAA
rnacentral:rRNA from 1 species